rnacentral:lncRNA from 1 species
GGGGGACUGGGAGAGGGGGGAGAAAUGGAGAGGGGGAAAGUGAAUGCGCCGAGUUGGUUUUCGCAGCAUUCCAAAAGCGAGGGUGUCGUGCUUGCACACAGCGGAGGGGUUUUCUGUGUCGUCGCCGCGGUUCCGAAGCGGUGCGUUGCGUCACGCGGUUCUGCUUGGAGGUGGAAAACGAAACCGCUCCGACUCCUCUCUGUCACCCAGGGCUACCAAGGCUGUGAGGAAGGGCUGCGUGCCAUGAGCUGGAUUGCUGCCUUUCUUUGUCACCUCCGCUUCAUCACACGGGAGCUCAUGGAAGAGCAGGCAGGGAGCCCAGCUGCUGUCAGCCUCCAGCUCUGGGCGCCUGCACAGCCAGGCAGCAGAAGGUGGAGGGGAACAAGAGCAUGCUGCAUGGGCUGAUGUGCAUGACAACAUCUGCUAGACAGGAGACAGCAGCACAGGGUGGACAGAAGCAGUGCAACUCUCCCUAACCAUCUAUGUGACUCCUACACUUGUGUGCAUGUGGCCACAGCUCUUCUACCCCUCUUUCCAGGUAAGGCAGUAACCACAGAGGUGCUUUCAAAACCAGCUGUCUGUGUUGUGGCUGCAAACACUGCUGACUUUCCUGUUAAUUUUCUCUAGAUACAAGCAUGAUAGGCAGCUCUCUUCCUGGUUAUUACACGUCUCAACACUGCUACAGAAUCUCCCCGUGUGGCACAGGGCAUCGUUUUACCUCCGAAGGAAAUUCUGAUCACGUUGAGCUUCCCUGCCUCAACAGGAUGGGCAGGGCAGUGUCCAUCACAGCCACACCUGUGUGCAUAAUCCUGCAAACAAAGCGACAGAAAUCUUGGGGUUCUGGAAACAGAAGGGAAAAUUAAGCUCAAUUAGAAUGUACUUUCCAGCCUUGAUACAAGUUUACAUAACUCUACCA